rnacentral:rRNA from 1 species
UCCUUAGAUGUUCUGGGCCGCACGCGCGCUACACUGAUGCAUUCAACGAGCCUAUCCUUGACCGACAGGUCCGGGUAAUCUUUGAAUCUGCAUCGUGACGGGGAUAGAUUAUUGCAAUUAUUAAUCUUCAACGAGGAAUGCCUAGUAGGCGCAAGUCAUCAGCUUGCGUCGAUUACGUCCCUGCCCUUUGUACACACCGCCCGUCGCUACUACCGAUUGAACGGUUUAGUGAGGGCCUCGGAUUGGUCUCGGCCCGCUCUUUACCGGGCGGCGCCGUUGGUCGAGAAGACGCUCGAACUUGAUCGUUUAGAGGAAGUAAAAGUCGUAACA